rnacentral:snoRNA from 1 species
AGCCCAUGAUGAGGGCACCUUCUCAAUAGAUCCUUGUAUCUCUCCCAUGCAUCGUAAAGUGUUUCUAAAUCCAUCUGUACAAAAGAAGAAAUAUCAUUCCGUAAUUU